UACGUAGGGUGCAAGCGUUGUCCGGAAUUAUUGGGCGUAAAGAGCUCGUAGGCGGUCUGUCGCGUCGGCUGUGAAAACCCGGAGCUCAACUCCGGGCCUGCAGUCGAUACGGGCAGACUGGAGUUCGGCAGGGGAGACUGGAAUUCCUGGUGUAGCGGUGAAAUGCGCAGAUAUCAGGAGGAACACCGGUGGCGAAGGCGGGUCUCUGGGCCGGAACUGACGCUGUAGAGCGAAAGCGUGGGGAGC
rnacentral:rRNA from 1 species